rnacentral:rRNA from 1 species
GGCCGCGGUAAUACGAAGGGGGCUAGCGGUGCUCGGAAUUACUGGGCGUAAAGGGCGCGCAGGCGGCUGGUCAAGUCCGAUGUGAAAUCUCCCGGCUCAACUGGGAAACUGCAUCGGAAACUGAUCAGCUUGAAGGUGGGAGAGGGUAGUGGAAUUCCCGGUGUAGUGGUGAAAUGCGUAGAUAUCGGGAGGAACACCAGUGGCGAAGGCGACUACCUGGCCCACUCUUGACGCUGAGGCGCGAAAGCUAGGGGAGCGAACG